rnacentral:tRNA from 8 species
GCCCCCUUAGCUCAGGGGAUAGAGCAUCGGCCUCCGGAGCCGGGUGCGCAGGUUCGAAUCCUGCAGGGGGCA